rnacentral:rRNA from 1 species
AUUGAACGCUGGCGGCAGGCCUAACACAUGCAAGUCGAGCGGGAACUUCGGUUCUAGCGGCGGACGGGUGAGUAAUGCCUAGGAAUCUGCCUGGUAGUGGGGGACAACGUUUCGAAAGGAACGCUAAUACCGCAUACGUCCUACGGGAGAAAGCAGGGGACUUUCGGGCCUUGCGCUCUCAGAUGAGCCUAGGUCGGAUUAGCUUGUUGGUGAGGUAAUGGCUCACCAAGGCGACGAUCCGUAACUGGUCUGAGAGGAUGAUCAGUCACACUGGAACUGAGACACGGUCCAGACUCCUACGGGAGGCAGCAGUGGGGAAUAUUGGACAAUGGGCGAAAGCCUGAUCCAGCCAUGCCGCGUGUGUGAAGAAGGUCUUCAGAUUGUAAAGCACUUUAAGUUGGGAGGAAGGGUUGUAGAUUAAUACUCUGCAAUUUUGACGUUACCGACAGAAUAAGCACCGGCUAACUCUGUGCCAGCAGCCGCGGUAAAAC